rnacentral:rRNA from 1 species
AUUGAACGCUGGCGGCAGGCUUAACACAUGCAAGUCGAACGAGUGGCGGACGGGUGAGUAAUGCUUGGGAAUCUAGCCUAUGGAGGGGGAUAACUACGGGACACUUUAGCUAAUACCGUGUACCAUAGUUCGAGCCCAGGGGGGAUUAGGUAGGGGGUGAGGUAAAGGCUCACCAGGCCGACGAUCUCUAGCUGGUCUGAGAGGAUGACCAGCAACACUGGGACUGAGACACGGCCCAGACGCCUACGGGAGGCAGCAGUGGGGAAUAUUGCGCAAUGGAGGCAAGCUGACGCAGCCAUGCCGCGUGAAUGAAGAAGGCCUUCGGGUUGUAAAGUUCUUUCGGUAGAGAGGCGUUAACUACAGAAGAAGCACCGGCUAACUCCGUGCCAGCAGCCGCGGUAAUAC